UACGAGGGGGCGAGCGUUUGUUCGGAAUUAUUGGGCGUAAAGGGUGCGUAGGCGGUUUGGUAAGUCUUAUGUGAAAUCUACAGGCUCAACUUGUAGUCUGCAUGAGAAACUGCCGGGCUUGAGUAUGGGAGAGGUGAGUGGAAUUCCUGGUGUAGCGGUGAAAUGUGUAGAUAUCAGGAGGAACACCUGUGGCGAAAGCGGCUCACUGGACCAUAACUGACGCUGAUGCACGAAAGCUAGGGGGAGCAAACAGG
rnacentral:rRNA from 1 species